AGCGAACGCUGGCGGCAGGCCUAACACAUGCAAGUCGAACGAACCUUUCGGGGUUAGUGGCGGACGGGUGAGUAACACGUGGGAACGUGCCUUUAGGUUCGGAAUAACUCAGGGAAACUUGUGCUAAUACCGAAUGUGCCCUUCGGGGGAAAGAUUAAUCGCCUUUAGAGCGGCCCGCGUCUGAUUAGCUAGUUGGUUGAGGUAAUGGCUCACCAAGGCGACGAUCAGUAGCUGGUCUGAGAGGAUGAUCAGCCACAUUGGGACUGAGACACGGCCCAAACUCCUACGGGAGGCAGCAGUGGGGAAUCUUGCGCAAUGGGCGAAAGCCUGACGCAGCCAUGCCGCGUGAAUGAUGAAGGUCUUAGGAUUGUAAAAUUCUUUCACCGGGGACGAUAAUGACGGUACCCGGAGAAGAAGCCCCGGCUAACCUCGUG
rnacentral:rRNA from 1 species